AAUGUAUAAUUUAUGGAGAUUGUUAAUGAUUAUAAUGAUUAUAUUCUAAAAAAUGUAUGUGUUUCAGAUGAAGCCAGGGGUGUUGUAUAUUCUUUGAUUGAGAUUAAAAAACGCCAUGAAAUCAAUGGAGAGAAAAGUAAACCAGACAAAGGGUGUGUUUACUCGAAUUUGAAGAUACGAUCACAUGCAGAUGAUGAUCAGAUGUACGCCCAAGUGCAGUCAUGCAGUAAAGACAA